rnacentral:rRNA from 1 species
CCUUGACUCUGGGAUAAGCCUGGGAAACUGGGUCUAAUACCGGAUACGACCGCUCCACGCAUGUGGUGGUGGUGGAAAGCUUUUGCGGUUUUGGAUGGACUCGCGGCCUAUCAGCUUGUUGGUGGGGUAAUGGCCUACCAAGGCGACGACGGGUAGCCGGCCUGAGAGGGUGACCGGCCACACUGGGACUGAGACACGGCCCAGACUCCUACGGGAGGCAGCAGUGGGGAAUAUUGCACAAUGGGCGGAAGCCUGAUGCAGCGACGCCGCGUGAGGGAUGACGGCCUUCGGGUUGUAAACCUCUUUCAGUAGGGAAGAAGCGUAAGUGACGGUACCUGCAGAAGAAGCGCCGGCUAACUACGUGCCAGCAGCCGCGGUAAUACGUAGGGCGCAAGCGUUAUCCGGAAUUAUUGGGCGUAAAGAGCUCGUAGGCGGUUUGUCGCGUCUGCUGUGAAAGACCGGGGCUCAACUCCGGUUCUGCAGUGGGUACGGGCAGACUA